CGAGCGAAGCGGGAAGAGCUCAAAUUUGUAAUCUGGCAGCAAUGCCCGAGUUGUAAUCUAUAGAGUCGUUUUCGGUGCCGGACCACGUCCAAGUCCCUUGGAACAGGGUAUCAAAGAGGGUGACAAUCCCGUGCUUGACGUGACCACCGGGGCUGUGUGAUACGAUUUCUACGAGUCGAGUUGUUUGGGAAUGCAGCUCUAAAUGGGUGGUAAAUUCCAUCUAAAGCUAAAUAUUGGCGAGAGACCGAUAGCGAACAAGUACCGUGAGGGAAAGAUGAAAAGCACUUUGGAAAGAGAGUUAAAAGUACGUGAAAUUGUUGAAAGGGAAACGAUUGAAGUCAGUCGUGCGGCUUGGUUUCAGCGGGUUCUGCCCGUGUAUUACCAUUUCGCGGGUCAACAUCGGUUAGGUCUGGCGGAAAAAGAUUAGAGGAAGGUGGCACCCUCGGGUGUGUUAUAGCCUCUGGUUGCAUACGCUGGACUUGACCGAGGACUGCGGCGUGCCUUUAUGGCAGGUCUUUUGACCUUCCACGCCUAGG
rnacentral:rRNA from 1 species